GGUGCAUUAAAUGCUUAAUAGGGAAGUAGGUGUGAUUCCUACGCUGUCCCGCAGCUGUAAUGUGGAGCAAGCUUAUUCUAUGUCACUGGGAAACUGGGAAGACGAAGCGAGCGAUGAUACAGAGCCAGAAUACCUGCCUUAUUG
rnacentral:ncRNA from 1 species